UACGGGGGGGGGUAAGCGUUGUUCGGAAUUACUGGGCGUAAAGGGCUCGUAGGCGGCCAACUAAGUCAUACGUGAAAUCCCUCAGCUUAACUGGGGAACUGCGUGUGAUACUGGAUGGCUUGGAUUUGGGAGAGGGAUGCGGAAUUCCAGGUGUAGCGGUGAAAUGCGUAGAUAUCUGGAGGAACACCGGUGGCGAAGGCGGCAUCCUGGACCAAUAUUGACGCUGAGGAGCGAAAGCCAGGGGAGCAAAACGGG
rnacentral:rRNA from 1 species